ACGAAGGAAGCAAGCCAACUGUGCUAUUUUCCCCCUGGGAUCCCAGUGUGCAAUGGCUGCAAAUAGCAGCCUCCUUGGUAGUGUAUACAGCCUUUUGCUUGCAUGAGUUGCCCUAAGGAACUUGAAUACAGCC
rnacentral:snoRNA from 1 species